UGCAGCCUGAGUUUCUCUGAUACGCAUCCUAAGUUGUAUAGACGGCGGUAAGGGACGGCGAGAUUGGCGGCACGGAGGUUGCAAAGGGACGGAUAAAGGGUGGAGCAAAUGGGCUUCCAAAGGUGGUCGGAGGACAUGCAAAUGGACCAUGACUUGCAUACACAGGAGGCUAUAAUUAGUGUUUUGGGGUCAAGAUGGUUGGCGACUAGGCUAAGAACACUCCAUGGAGGUG
rnacentral:lncRNA from 1 species